rnacentral:lncRNA from 1 species
CGGCCCUCGCCUGGCACGGAGACCUGGCUGCGAGACCCGGAGCGUGGCUUUGAUUCCGGCGCCUGCGUGUCAGCCGCGCAGCGUGGCCGGGGAAGCUGGCCUCGCGCCGCGGUCCCCCUGAUGGGCCUGCGAGGAAGACGCUUUGAAAUAGAGCGGAGCUGGGAAAGCUCCUGCGAGGGACGACCGCCCCUUGAGGCUGGAAGUGUAGUGAAAGCCAGGCCUAGCAGCACAUGCCCAUAAUCAUGGCACUUGGAGGUCAGAGGCAGGAGGAUCAAGUGUCCAUAGCCAUUUUGGGCUAUGUGAGACUUUCUCAAG